rnacentral:rRNA from 1 species
AAUCAACGCUGGCGGCGUGCCUCAGACAUGCAAGUCGAACGCGAAAGUCCCCUUCGGGGGACGAAGUAGAGUGGCGCACGGGUGAGUAACACGUAGGUAAUCUACCUUCGGAUGGGGAAGUAACAACCGGAAACCGGGUUAGCUAAUACCGCAUAAUGCAGCGGCACCUAAUGGUGGACAGUUGUUAAAGCGGGGGAGUCAAAGACCCCGCGUCUGAAGAGGAGCCUGCGGCGGA